rnacentral:misc_RNA from 1 species
GUUAGCUUUUUUUUUUGGAUUCAAUGUCAUAUUUUCUUCAAUUCUUGAACUGGGUCUGAGCUAUUUCAUCUGUAUAUUUAUUGUAUUUUUGUCCUUUUUUAAUACUUGGUGUUGGAGGGUUUUGCUCUAAAGGAAGUGUAUAUAUUUGGAAUUCCCUUUUUGGGUCCCCAUUGGGUCAUGUUUGUGCUAAUUAGGAAACUUUGGUUCAGUUGUUUAGCUGAUGAUUUAAGGGUUUGGAAAAAGAUCAGAUUUUUG